GUAGGUGAACCUGCGGAAGGAUCAUUACCGAGUGAGGGCCCUCUGGGUCCAACCUCCCACCCGUGUUUAUUUACCUUGUUGCUUCGGCGGGCCCGCCUUAACUGGCCGCCGGAGGGCUCACGCCCCCGGGCCCGCGCCCGCCGAAGACACCCUCGAACUCUGUCUAAAGAUUAUAGUCUGAGUGAAAAUAUAAAUUAUUUAAAACUUUCAACAACAAAUCUCUUAAUUCCG
rnacentral:misc_RNA from 1 species